AUUGAACGCUGGCGGCAGGCCUAACACAUGCAAGUCGAGCGGAUGAAGGGAGCUUGCUCCUGGAUUCAGCGGCGGACGGGUGAGUAAUGCCUAGGAAUCUGCCUGGUAGUGGGGGAUAACGUCCGGAAACGGGCGCUAAUACCGCAUACGUCCUGAGGGAGAAAGUGGGGGAUCUUCGGACCUCACGCUAUCAGAUGAGCCUAGGUCGGAUUAGCUAGUUGGUGGGGUAAAGGCCUACCAAGGCGACGAUCCGUAACUGGUCUGAGAGGAUGAUCAGUCACACUGGAACUGAGACACGGUCCAGACUCCUACGGGAGGCAGCAGUGGGGAAUAUUGGAAGAUGGGCGAAAGCCUGAUCCAGCCAUGCCGCGUGUGUGAAGAAGGUCUUCGGAUGGUAAAGCACUUUAAGUUGGGAGGAAGGGCAGUAAGUUAAUACCUUGCUGUUUUGACGUUACCAACAGAAUAAGCACCGGCUAACUUCGU
rnacentral:rRNA from 1 species